UUUAAUCCUAAUACUGCACAAGCUAUAAUGCAAACUCCUAUAGUUAACACUGUUAGACAUGACGUGUUGGUUUGGAAGCUAACCCCUGCAGGUGACAACUCUUCGAAAAGUGCCUACAAGCACUGCUUCAAUAAUCUACCACUGCCAGCAAACCAACGGCCAAAAUCUGUUCCACCACAGAUUGUAAAUCUUCUCAAUCAAGUUUGGAAAGCCAAACGCAUUGAGCUAAGAGUUCAAACUUUCGCAUGGAGACUUCUUCGCCGAGCACUUCCAACGGGUAAGCGAGCAAGUAAGUUCUCCAGACAUAUUAGUGAGAAUUGUACUAGAUGUGGCAACCAGGAGGAUGAAGUGCACAUGCUUUUUCUAUGCCCUUUCUCAAAGGCUACUUGGUUUUCCUCUCCCUGGUAUAUUAGAACAGAAGUUUUGGCAGAACAUAAUCAUUCCAUUCCACACAUGCUCAAGGUUUUAAUAGAUUCUGCUCAUCCCCAUAUCAAUGUAACUAGUGUAUACACUUUCUUAUGGUGUCUUUGGAAAGCACAAAAU
rnacentral:rRNA from 1 species